rnacentral:rRNA from 1 species
UCGGCUCAGGAUGAACGCUAGCUACAGGCUUAACACAUGCAAGUCGAGGGGCAGCAUGGUCUUAGCUUGCUAAGGCCGAUGGCGACCGGCGCACGGGUGAGUAACACGUAUCCAACCUGCCGUCUACUCUUGGACAGCCUUCUGAAAGGAAGAUUAAUACAAGAUGGCAUCAUGAGUCCGCAUGUUCACAUGAUUAAAGGUAUUCCGGUAGACGAUGGGGAUGCGUUCCA